GAUGAACGCUGGCGGCGUGCUUAACACAUGCAAGUCGAACGAGAAAUGGAGACGGAAACCUUCGGGCGGAAGGCUUCAUUUCGAGUGGCGGACGGGUGAGUAACGCGUGGGUAACCUGCCUCAUACAGGGGGAUAACAGUUGGAAACGACUGUUAAUACCGCAUAAGACCACAGCACCGCAUGGUGCGGGGGUAAAAACUCCGGUGGUAUGAGAUGGACCCGCGUUCGAUUAGCCAGUUGGCGGGGUAACGGCCCACCAAAGCGACGAUCGAUAGCCGAUCUGAGAGGAUGACCGGCCACAUUGGGACUGAGACACGGCCCAAACUCCUACGGGAGGCAGCAGUGGGGAAUAUUGCACAAUGGGGGAAACCCUGAUGCAGCGACGCCGCGUGUGUGAAGAAGUACUUCGGUAUGUAAAGCUCUAUCAGCAGGGAAGAAAAUGACGGUACCUGAGUAAGAAGCCCCGGCUAACUACGUG
rnacentral:rRNA from 1 species